GUGCUAACUUCAGCAGCACAAAUACUAAAAUUGGAAUGAUACAGAAAACAUUAGCAUGGCCCCUGUGCAAGGAUGACAUGCAAAUUCAUGAAGCAUUUCAUAUUUUA